rnacentral:rRNA from 1 species
UGGGGAAUAUUGGACAAUGGGGGAAACCCUGAUCCAGCAAUGCCGCGUGUGUGAAGAAGGUCUUCGGAUUGUAAAGCACUUUUGGCAGGGACGAUGAUGACGGUACCUGCAGAAUAAGCCCCGGCUAACUUCGUGCCAGCAGCCGCGGUAAUACGAAGGGGGCUAGCGUUGCUCGGAAUGACUGGGCGUAAAGGGCGCGUAGGCGGCAUGUACAGUCAGAAGUGAAAUUCCUGGGCUCAACCUGGGGACUGCUUUUGAUACGUGCAAGCUAGAGUGAGGAAGAGGGUUGUGGAAUUUCCAGUGUAGAGGUGAAAUUCGUAGAUAUUGGAAAGAACACCGGUGGCGAAGGCGGCAACCUGGUCCUUAACUGACGCUGAGGCGCGAAAGCGUGGGGAGCAAACAGG